GCACAAACGGCAAUGGUAUAAAGGAUAAUUGAACUCCAUGAUCUCAUAAACAACUUUUAUUAAUUAUGAACAUUAUCUAAAAGAAAAAGGGAUAAGGUUGAGCUUUGCAUAACAAUUCUAGAGGCAUCUCUAUAAAGUUUCAGGAUCAAUGCAGAGAAAUAUUGUCGGAUGGAAAUGAAACUACCCCAGAAAUACAAACAAAACUUCAUUGGAAGUUAUGUAAUCUCACAAACAAAUCACAUUUCCCUGAUAUUCAUGAAGAUACCCU
rnacentral:misc_RNA from 1 species